CGUAGUCUACAGUAGUAGUUUCGUACGUCGUGCUAGACGACGACGCUGGCGGCGUGCUUAACACAUGCAAGUGAACGCUGAAGCUCAGCUUUUUGUUGGGUGGAUGAGUGGCGAACGGGUGAGUAACACGUGAGUAACCUGCCCUCUUCUUUGGGAUAACGCCCGGAAACGGGUGCUAAUACUGGAUAUUCACUGAUCUUCGCAUGGGGGUUGGUGGAAAGGUUUGUUCUGGUGGGGGAUGGGCUCGCGGCCUAUCAGCUUGUUGGUGGGGUGAUGGCCUACCAAGGCUUUGACGGGUAGCCGGCCUGAGAGGGUGACCGGUCACAUUGGGACUGGGAUACGGCCCAGACUCCUACGGGAGGCAGCAGUGGGGAAUAUUGCACAAUGGGCGAAAGCCUGAUGCAGCGACGCCGCGUGAGGGAUGGAGGCCUUCGGGUUGUAAACCUCUUUCGCUCAUGGUCAAGCCGCGACGUGGGUUGUGGUGAGGGUAGUGGGUAAAGAAGCGCCGGCUAACUACGUG
rnacentral:rRNA from 1 species